AUUGAACGCUGGCGGCAGGCCUAACACAUGCAAGUCGAGCGAGCGGCGGACGGGUGAGUAUUGUCUGGGAAACUGUCUGAGGGAGGGGGAUAACUACUGGAAACGGUAGCUAAUACCGCGUAUCAUCAGCUGUGUCCAGAUGGGACUAGCUAGUAGGGGGGGUAACGGCUCACCUAGGCGACGAUCCCUCGCUGGUGUCAGAGGAGGACCAGCUACACUGGAACGGAGACACGGUCCAGACUCCUACGGGAGGCAGCGGUUGGGAAUAUUGCACAAUGGGCGCAAGCCUGAUGCAGCCAUGCCGCGUGUGUGAAGAAGGCCUUCGGGUUGUAAAGCACUUUCAGCGGGGAGGCGUUACCCGCAGAAGAAGCACCGGCUAACUCCGUGCCAGCAGCCGCGGUAAUAC
rnacentral:rRNA from 1 species